GGAAGCGACUGGAAUUAUUCAUACUGCUUCAUCGUAUCAAACAGCCACCGAUUUAACAAGAAGAGACGAGAUGCUCCAGUUCUGUUUGCAAAUAUCGUAUACUCAGCAGCAAAGAAGCAGAGAAAAUUCCUUGUGGUUGAAUUAUAAGUUCAUUCGUCGUUAUGUGAGUGUUAUGGUAUCUUACUUAGUAGUCUUGAUUCAAUUCAGCCAAGCCAGAAGUAUUUGAAUGUCAUGAGACCAACAUCGAGAUGGAUUUAAGGUAAAAUAAUGUAUUUAUCCAUGUCUCUA